GACGAACGCUGGCGGCGUGCUUAACACAUGCAAGUCGAACGGAAAGGCCCUGCUUUUGUGGGGUGCUCGAGUGGCGAACGGGUGAGUAACACGUGAGUAACCUGCCCUUGACUUUGGGAUAACUUCAGGAAACUGGGGCUAAUACCGGAUAGGAGCUCCUGCUGCAUGGUGGGGGUUGGAAAGUUUCGGCGGUUGGGGAUGGACUCGCGGCUUAUCAGCUUGUUGGUGGGGUAGUGGCUUACCAAGGCUUUGACGGGUAGCCGGCCUGAGAGGGUGACCGGCCACAUUGGGACUGAGAUACGGCCCAGACGCCUACGGGAGGCAGCAGUGGAGAAUAUUGCGCAAUGGGCGGAAGCCUGAUGCAGCAACGCCGCGUGCGGGAUGACGGCCUUCGGGUUGUAAACCGCUUUCGCCUGUGACGAAGCGUGAGUGACGGUAAUGGGUAAAGAAGCACCGGCUAACUACGUG
rnacentral:rRNA from 1 species